rnacentral:lncRNA from 1 species
GGGGGGGGGCAUGGCCCCCUGCAGCCAUGAGUUGGUUUCGUCCUUGCAAAUCUCGAACUCUCGAACUCUCGGCGCCGGCGACCCUUCAUCUCGAACUCUCGAACUCUCAGAUCUCGGCGCCGGCGGCAGCUCUCCAUUUGUUAUGGUAAUUUUGUUAUUUACCUUUACUAAAUUCUCAAAGACCGAUUACUUUUAGUGUGGGUGGGUGUCUACAUAUAUUUCAAAUAUUGUUGGUUCGGACUUUCGGAUCGAUGUGAAUCUUGCCAAUGGUGUCACUUGUCAUGAGAAUCAGAAAAAUCAAAUAGCUUCAUCAUUUUUAGUAAGAAUGGAAGACAUACAAAUUGUUGGAUGUCAUGUUCUUUCAUUUAAUUAAUCCUUCUAACAUUAGAAUAUACUUAUAUAUUUUUUAAUUUGACUGAGUUCCAUAAAUUGGAGUUUGUGAUAAUUAAAAUGGCUUAUUUUAAUAUUUGCAUCAACAUAUAUACUAAUGAAGGUGUUUCUGUCCGAGCUUAGUAGUAUAACAUGAAUUAGAUUUAGACAUCAUAAUUCCAUAGAUUUGCUCCCUAUACUUUCUUUUGGAUAUGAUUUUUUGCCUCUACUAAUUCUUUUUUUUAAAAUCCAGAUUAGAAAAGCUAUCACUUAUAUUGGUUGCUUUUUUAAAUGAAAUUAAUGAAAUGAAUAUUUCUUCCACUCUGCCUGGUUAAUUCUCCUUGGUUUGGUCAUUGGUGUUAUAUAAUGAUUUCAUUUUACCUUUGCUCUGGGUCAAAUAUUGAGGUCUGACUUUUAAGGAAUUGUGUGGGAGAUUUUCAAUUUUGAGGAAGAAAUGGGUUGUAGUUUGCUAGUCCAAAAGAAUUGUGAUUUUUGAUUCUUGUAGUUAACUGUGUCAAUAAGAAAAAAUAUUAAUCUCUUGGUGGUUUCAGAUUUUAGUAGGAGAAAAGUUCUACUAGUUUUUAUUUUCUAGACUCUGUUUUCUUAUCAAUGUUUAUUUUAGCUGUAAGGUUACCUUGAUACUUAUUUAGUUAUUUUUAUCUAUUAGUAAUGAAUGUUUGAUAGUUUGAUAGUUGGUGUCCUUUUUGAAGUCAUCAGUGUUCUCUUUGGUUGUUGCUAUACGUAUUUUGCAGGAUAUUUUUGUUCUUCCCUUUCAUUUAUUUAGUAGCUUGCAAAGGUGAUGAUGGUGAUUUUAGCAUCAGCUGCAUCUCAAAAGUCUACUUUUAAGGUCUAUGUUUUAAUUUUUUAAAAAUUUGUGUACUUUGGUCAUGGAAAAGCCUGCAAUUUAAUAUCUAUAUAACAAUCUUCUAUGGCCUUUUUAUCUUAAGUUUCCUAUAUUCUUAGUCUGUAUUAUAUACUGCUACAAAGUGUUAUCAGUUUUGAUUUUUUUUAGUUAUUAGUACUCUUUGUUUAUUCUGUUUAAUGUCUUCACAUCUAUUUGUUUUGAUUCAUGCACCAAUAGUGUACAUGUGUUUAUUCUGUUUCACUCAAUGAAGUUUUGUUAUGUGCAUUACCAUCAAAAAUCUUAUUCAGUUUACAAAAACAAUUUGUAAAACAAACCUUUCAUACGUUUUUAUGCUGUGAUAACUAUAUUAUUGUCUUUUGAGUUUUUUUAUUGGCUCUUUUACUAUUGAAACAUUCACUUACAAGCUAUUUAAUUAAUUUUUAGAGUGGCAUACUCAAAGAUGGCCGAGGAGGUUUGCAAUUUGCUUCUAGCUGAUAGUGGAUUUAAACUUGUUGGCUACUUGGCUAUUGCUGUUUGGGCUCGACUCAGUUGGCUGGCAGCUGCAUGUUGUUGAUUGAUAUUAAUCAUGUAGUCACUGUCUCAUUGUAGGAAAUGUUCUGUAUUUCUGUUGUUGGCUUGUUGUUGUUAUCUGUCGAAUGACAGUUCAUGUUUUUGUAAUAUGUAGACCGUAGUUGGCUAGUUGCUGCUGUCUUUUGUAAUAUGUAGGAACUGUUCUGCUGCUGGCUUGUUGCUACUGUUGAAUACUCACCUGUUCAAUUCACUGUACUUGCUAAGUCUUUUAAAUUCGGUUAUUCGGUUAUCAUAAAAUUCGGUUAAUUGUUCAGAUACCUAAAAUAGUAUAAGUUCGGUUUUCGGUUAUAACCGAAAUACUUAUUCGGUUCGGUUAAUAACCGAAUGCUCACCCCUAACUACAUUUGCUUGUAAAAAUUAC